AUUCAACGCCCCGGGCUCAGCCGCGGCUGCGCCCGGAAUCCGGGGCCUCUCCUUCGUGACCCCGGAGUGGGCAAGUGACGAGGGCACGGCCAGAAACGCAUUGGCGUCAAGGAAACCACGACCCAUCUUCCUGGAAGGAAACUUGGGGACACUUAUGAAGAGAAGACUAGGAAGGACCGGAGUAGAAGCACUAAAGGAGGAACCAUGUGGAAGGGAUAUAAAUAUCCCCCAGGAGGGACUCCAGUGGAAGUAAGCAAGGAUGAUCCUGGUGAAGUAAUGCAGCUGUGAAGCUCACCUGACCAGCUGUACAGUUCCUGUUGUUGGUUUCACAUAAAAGUUUCACUUGUUGCCUAGGCUGGAGUGCAAUGGUGCGAUCUCGGCUCACUG
rnacentral:lncRNA from 10 species